rnacentral:rRNA from 1 species
GUAGGUGAACCUGCGGAAGGAUCAUUCACACAUGCUUUAUGCAUAAUCCAAUUUACAACCCAGUUUAUAUUCUGAUGGUAGAUCUCAAUUUGUAUGUUGUUGUCCACCUUAAGCCUAACCACAGCCACCAUUGGUGGAGAAGGAUAGCGCCUUAAAGUUGCGUGCACACAUGCAAACUGGUUCAACCAUCAGCUUUGCUUCUUUAUAUUUUUUAUCAUAUUAAUCAUGCUUCUUUAAAAUUAAAGAAAAUUCUCAACGAUGGAUAUCUGGGUUCCCAUACCGAUGAAGAACGCAGCGAACUGCGAUACGCAAUGCGAAUAGCAGAAUUCCGCGAGACAUUAGAUCUUUGAACGCAAAUGGCGCUGGCUUGCCAGCAUGUUUGGUUCAGUGUGUAUGGAGAGUAUUCUCAUCACCUUAACAGAAUGCGAUUGAAGCCUUCUAGUAGGGUUUCUCCCGUUAAAUAAGAUGUAGUGAGGUUUGUGCAACCUCCGAGACGAAGUAGUCACAUCAUUGAGUGUGAUCUCGCCUUCGGAUUAAAGAUUGCCAAAUAUACUUCACUCAGAAUUAAAAUUAAUCUCCUAUUUCGACACCUGAAAUCAAGCAAGGCUACCCGCUGAACUUAAGCAU